UCCCUGUGGCAUUAUCCAGGGGGAGCCAGGAGCCCAGGCCCAGCUCAUCACUUUCCAUCCUUCCUUUAACAAAGGGGCCCUGCUCAGUGUGUGCUGGUCCACAGGCCGAAUUGCCCACAUCCCUCUGUACUUUGUCAAUGCCCAGUUUCCACGUUUUAGCUCAGUGGUUGGCUGGGCUCAAGAGCCCCCAUCUGGGGGUGGAAGCUCUAUUCAUGACCUGCCCCUCUUUACUGAGACAUCCCUGAGCUCUGCCCCUUGGGACCCCCUCCCAGGGCCCCCACCAGCCCAGCCUCAUUCCCCUCACUCUCAUCUCCCAUUACAAUAAAUGUUUUGUUCUCCA